rnacentral:rRNA from 1 species
GUGCCAGCCGCCGCGGUAAUACGUAGGGUGCAAGCGUUGUCCGGAAUUAUUGGGCGUAAAGAGCUCGUAGGCGGUUUGUCGCGUCUGCUGUGAAAUCUGGGGGCUCAACCCCCAGCCUGCAGUGGGUACGGGCAGACUAGAGUGCGGUAGGGGAGAUUGGAAUUCCUGGUGUAGCGGUGGAAUGCGCAGAUAUCAGGAGGAACACCGAUGGCGAAGGCAGAUCUCUGGGCCGUAACUGACGCUGAGGAGCGAAAGCAUGGGGAGCGAACAGGAUUAGAAACCCCUGUAGUCC